rnacentral:lncRNA from 1 species
CAGACUCCGGCGGUCACAUGACUCCAGCCUAGAGCGUUGAUCGCACUGCGGCUCCCGCCCGGGCGAGUUCUCGCCCCCGCGCGGCCGUUGCCGAGGAGACGGCGCAGUCUCACGGUGCGUUGCCCCCUCUGCAGUCCCCCCGCCCCUCUUCUCCCACCACAAUGAGAUCUAAGAUGGCGGUGGCUGCGGCGGUUGGCGCCGAGUAGCUAAGGUAGAGAAGGCGGCCAUUGGGCCCUAGGCAGCCAAAGAACUUGUGGGCGCUCCCUGCUGCGGUCUCUAAGGGAGGACCGCUGGCGGGUCGUAGGGCCUGACCGCUACUCCACCCUUGGCAGGAGCGGCUGCUUCGUUUACAGCAGGCAACAGCUUUGAAGUGUGAAGCAGGGAAGGAGCCGUUUCUGAGCUGUAAAACUAGUUUUUAAACAGGUACUUGACCAUCUUAAGUACAGAGAAGAAAUCGAGAAGUUCCUCAAAUGAAAUUGACUAAACAACACAUAAAACCAAAUACUCAUUUUCUUCUCAAUUUCUAUUAAAAGUGCUUAGUACAUUUGGACACUGUAUGAAGACUUUCAAAACAGUGUACCAGUUAGCUUCUAGUACUUCUGAAGAUGGUAUUGCCUCUACUGCAUAUGUAGUUUUUGGAGCGCCUGUUCUUUAGUAUUAUAAAUUAUAUUGGUACAUCUAGGAAAUAGGUGCAAAAUGAUUCAUCUAAAUGUCAUUUCAGCUCAUUGGACAUACCUCUCUGUGG